GGCCCUUGCCGGUGGGAAAGGCGGCUCGUUUUGUUCCUUGGCAUCCGCGGGCCCUUCUCAGCCUUCUUUUGGCGCAAACGGAGGGGCGGCGCUCCUUAGCCAGGAGUUAAGGGAGGGUGCUUUGUGGUAGCGAAUUAAGGGAGGGGCAUUUCAUGGUUGUGAAAGGGCACUUUGGAGUUGUGAAUUAAGAGAGGGCAUUUCAUUGUUGUGAAUUAAGGGAGGGCGUUUCUUGGUCACAGAUCAAGGGAUGUCCUCUUGCAGUCAUGAAUUUUGUAGUCAUUUUGUUGUCAUGAAUCACAGGACGGCAUUCCUUAGUUGCGAAUCAAAGGAUAGGUUUUAGUCAUAAACUAAGGAACAGCAUUCCUUGGUCACAAAUGAAGGGACAGACCGAUCUGUCUUCUAUUGGUUUUUCUUGGAUCUUGUCCCCCCCCCCCCCCGCCUCAGCAUUGAGUUUGCCCCAUUUCUGCAUCAGCUUGCAAUACCAAUUUAUAAAUUCUGCACGGAAUUUUGCACUGAUAUUUGUAGCCGUUUUCUCCUGGUACAACAGGAUCGUACCUUACAGACAUUUUACUUGCGCCAGUUCAGCUCUAUGACUGUAAAACUGGAAUCUAGGGUUGCGUUGUGUUUUAAAUGUGGGCCAAAUAAUGGUGUACCCUAAGGUUGCCAUAUUUCAAAAAGUAAAAUUCCUGACAGCCUCCAAAUUAUCAAGUUUUUCAACCACCAAAAUUGUUGAGCUUUUGGGGGGGGAACCUCCCCCCAAAACAGUAGUUUUAAGCUUACAUCCGGGUUCCCCCUGACAUUUUGCAGAAUUCCCCCCCCGACGCCAUUUUUACACCCGGAAACCAGGACACGUCAGGAUUUUUCCUGACGCAUGGCAAGCCUAGUGCACCCCCGAUCCAUGCUUAAUAAAUUCCCCCUCCCUGUAUAAAAGCAGUAUAUCUCUGAACAGAACAGGGGGACUUCAAGUGGCAAGGAAGGGGUUUCCAACUCAAGAUCUUUCUGAAAAGAAAGAGCUGUUCAACCGUGGGAUGGAAGGAUUGCAGGGGGGUUGGACUUGAUGUCCCUUGGGGGUCCCUUACAACUCUACAAUUCUGUAAUGUUUAACCAAAAAAAGGUGGGGUGAUAAAGUGAAGGGCGUUCACUGCACAGCAUGCAAGAAAUGUGUGGAUCUCUCCCCCCCUCCUCUUCCUGCUACCUGACCCCGACCCCAGCCUGUCUGGGUCUCUCUCUUGGGCAGCCUUGAAAUCACCUGAUCUAAUUGCUACCAAACCCCAGGCAGUAAAAUCACAGCUGAUAAGGCCUCCUGUCACUUUCACUCUCUGGAGAAAGCAGCCCCCCCUUCCUUUUCCCUUUUAAGGUAGCUUCUUCCCCGUUUAAGGCAGACCGGGGAUUCAUUCUCGGGCUGCGGCUGCCGGGGCGAUUGCAACGAAUGUGUGUUGUCCCCCUGCAGCCUCGAAUUUCUUUGAUUCUGUUGCUUACAGGGGGUGUGGAGUUAAUUUGGAAAGGGGGGGGCGCGUUUCUGCUGGGGACUGGACGCCAGUGGCGGGUGGGUCACGCUGUAAAAGCCCGUGGAGCCAGAAAUGCAAAAUUUCUAGCUUUGUACCGUAGCUCAGUCAGUAGAGUGUUGGAUUCAGAAGGCGAUUGGGUCGGAUUCGGCCCCCGGGCCCUAGGUUGCCUACCCAUGGCCUACACAGUGAGCUUCUUGGCCGAGGCGGGAUUUGAACCCACAUCUCCCAGGCCCUAGCUUGGCACUUGUGGCUGGGGCAAGCCAGCCAGAUGGGUAGGGUACAAAUAAUAAAAUUAUUAUUAUUAUUAUUAUUAUUAUUAUUAUUAUUAUUAUUAUUAUUAUUACUGUGAGCAUUCGUCAUAGUAACCUUUAUUAAUAGGUUUUAACCACAUAUCCCAACACUAUGGCAUCCUUUUGCUAAUAAUCCAUGCCUUUGAGCCAAUUCGCUCGACUAGUAGAUUGCUUUACUUGCGUGAAAAUCUUUUCCCCCUCUUUCUUUUCCUUUUUAAAAAGAAGGUCUUCAGAAACACUUCCUGCUUCUUAUAGCUAUAACUCAGGCUAAUCUGUGCUGUGUGUUGUGAAGCACACUUUCCUCCCCUCGAGAAUACUGGGAGAUGUAGUUUGCCAAGGGCGCUGGGAAUUGUAGCGUGGUUGGGAGCGAACUACAGACCCCGGGAUUCUUUGGAGGCGACGGCGACGCAUUUGCUUUAAAUCCGUCAUGCGUGUGCAACCUUCGUUUUUAUUCGAAACCUAUUUACCUUAAUGAAUUCAGCAAGGCUGAUGAACUUUGCCCAGGGGAUGGCAACUUUUCAAAGCCUAAUUAAUAGUCAUUGAUACCUCCAGCCACCCACUAGGUAAUUCCACCACCCUCCUGCCCCCCAGCCAGGUGGGCUUGGGAUCGACUGCCGCAGUCCAAGAAUUUGAUCUGGAUUUCGUGCUGGCUCCCCGGUUCUCCUGCCCAGUCAGCAGAGACUCACAAUCUCCGGAGGUCGUGGGUUCGAAUCCCACCUUGGGCAAAAUAAAAAAUAAAAAAAUCCCUGCAUUGCAGAUUCUAGGAUUCUAAUAUAGACUGGGAACGGUGGUUAUGGGAAGGGCUCCCCUUUUGCCAGCAUUGCAUUUCACGGGCCCGACUUUGCAGCCAGGGUGUGUUUGUGGUUUUUUACGCGGGAUGUGUGUGUGUGUGUGUGUGUGUGUGUGUUCGGUUGGCGGCCGACACAUAGUUUUAAGAUGCAGCUCCCGUUGUCUCUGACAUUAUCAGUCUGGAGCAGUCGCAGGCGGUCUCUCUCGCCAGCCCUCCUUACAAUAUACGAUAAUGCUCUCUCUCCUCCCCCCACCCCUUCUUUCUCCUGCGUCAGCAAAAUAAGAAUUUUUUUUUAAAAAAAGAUUCUCAGCCGAUUUCUCUGCAAUGGGCAACCCCAGAGCUGGUUGGAAAGAUCUUUUGCAUCUCAAGUCUUUCCUGGGCUGGAUUUUAUUUUAAAAGUGUGGGGGGGGGGGGAACAGAGGGUCUCUCUCUCUCUCCCCCCCCCACUUUCCUCCACAAUGGCAGUCUGGUCAACCCCCUUUGCUAGUUUACUUGUUUAUAUUUUAGGGAGAUAUUUGCAGGCUGCUCGCGCUCAUAGUAAUAAGGAUAAAGGCAGUAAGUACUGGUCAGGAAAAGGGGGAAAAAAACCCACUUUUUAAAAGGGGGUGUCUAAAAGAAGGCAGGACUGAACUUCCACUGGCAGGGACUUCCACAGGGCAGACUUUUAGCGGGUUGGAGAGCUUGGCCCAAACUAACAAAAUGAAUAGGGACAAAUGUCAGGUUCUGAACUUGGGAAGGAAGAACCAGCUGCACAAAUAUAGGAUGGGGGACACCUGGCUUGCUAGCAGUACAUGUGAAAAGGAUCUGGGGGUCUUGGUGGUCCACAAGCUGAACAGGAGUCAACUCUGUGAUGCAGCAGCAAAAAAAAAGCAAAUGCAAUUCUAGGCUGCAUCCACAGAAGUCGAGUGCCCAGAUCAAGUCAUAGUCCCUCUCUAUUCUGCCUUGGUCAGAUCACAGCUGUGAUACUGUGUCCAGUUCUGGGCGCCACAAUUUAAGAAGGAUGUUGACAAGCUGGAAGGUGUGCAGAGGAGGGCGACCGAGAUGAUCCAGGGUCUGGAAACAAAGCCUGAUGAGGAACAGUCGAAGGAGCUGGGUAUGUUUAGCCUGGAAAAGAGGAGAUUGAGAGGAGAGAGGAGAGCCACCUGCCGAUAUCUGAAGGGCUGUCCCAUGGAAGAGGGCACGAGCUUGUUUCCUCCUGCUCUGGAGGGUAGGACUCGAACCCAUGGUUUCGAGUGACAAGAAAGGAGAUUCCGACUCGACGUCGGGAAGAGCUCUUCGACAGUGUAGAAGACUCCCUGGGGAGGUGGUGGACUCUCAACAGAGGCUGAAGGGCCAUCGGUCUGGGAUUCUGCCUUAGAAUCAUAGAAUCGUAGAGUUGGGAGGGACCCCCAGAGGUCAUCUAGCCCAACCCCCUGCAAUGCAGGAGUCUCAGCUAAAGCACCCAUGACAGAUGGCCAUCCAACCUCUGCCUAGAAACCUCCAAGGAAGGAGAGUCCACGGUCUCCUGAGGGGGGCCGUUCCCCUUGCAAGGAGUUGGACUAAACGGCCCUCGGGAGUCUCUUCCCAACUCUACAACCCUGCGAGGUUUGAGCAUAAGCAAGGGGUCAGCAAACUUUUUCAGCAGGGGGUCAGCCCACCGUCCCUCAGACCAUGUGGGGGGCCGGACUAUAUUUUUUGGGGGGAAAUAUGAAUGAAUUCCUAUGCCCCACAAAUAAACCAGAUAUCCAUUUUAAAUAAAAGCACACAUUCUACUCAUGUAAAAACACCAGGCACGCCCUACAAAUAACCCAGAGAUGCAUUCUAAAUAAAAGGACACAUUCUACUCAUGUGAAAACACACUGAUUCCCGGAUCGUCCGCGGGCCAGAUUGAGAAAGCAAUUGGGCCAGAUCCGGCCUCCCGGGCCUUAGUUUGCCAACCCAUGGUAUAAGCCAGAGACACCCCCAAACUCGGCCCUCCAGAUGUUUUGGGACUACGAUUCCCAUCAGCCCUGCCCACUGCUCCUGUUAGCUAGAGAUGAUGGGAGUUGUAGUCCCAAAACAUCUGGAGGGCCGAGUUUGGGGAUGCCUGGUAUAAGCGAUCGGUCGACCCUUAAAAUAUAACCUUGGGCACAAGUUGUCGGGGGCUUUCUGAAUUAACACAGGAACCCCGAGCUCAUGGGGCAGGAGCACCCUAAGUUCCAGACGGCAACAGAGGAAAAAACAACAACACACUCCUCCUUCUGGCAGGGCACAGUUAAACUACAGAACUCUGUGCUACAGGAGGCAGUGGCGAAGUUCACGCAGUUGCUUAUGUUAUAGUUGAAUCGCCGGUCUUUUGCGUUGGAAAUCUUUGGCUGGCUUUAAAAGAGAUUCUUACUCUUAAUUAUUGAAUGUAUAUGCUGCCCUAUACCCCAGGGGGGGGGGUGUCUCAGGGCGGUUCACAUAAUAAAAUCAAGAUAUGGAAACACAAAACACCUAAUAAAAAUUAAAACAACAACCCAAUAGCUGCCCCCCCCAAAAAAAACACAUUGCAAAAGGGCAUAGGAUGUAAAUCAGAUCACCCAAAGACCUGGUGAAAAAGGAAUAAUAGAAUUGGAAGAGACCACAAGGGCCAUCCAGUCCAACCCCCUGCCAAGCAGGAAACACCAUCAAAGCAUUCCUGACAUAUGCCUGUCAAGCCUCUGCUUAAAGACCUCCAAAGAAGGAGACUCCACCACACUCCUUGGUAGCAAAUUCCACUGCCGAACAGCUCUUACUGUCAGGAAGUUCUUCCUAAUGUUUAGGUGGAAUUUUCUUUAGGAACGUUCUUCUUUAGAAUCUUCUUUAGGAACGUUUUUGCCUGGCGCCCAAAAGUGUACAAUGAAGGCGUCAGGCGAACAGAUGGGGGAGCCAUUGCAGAGAAGGCCCCGCUCUCGUUUUGCCACCCAGGGCCGUCUUAAGCAUAUCUGGCGCCCUGGCGCCCCGGCGCGAAGAUCCCUCCGACGCCCCCCCCCCCGCCCCGUUUCCCAGCGCGGCUGUCUGGCGGGCGCAGCACGGCGCCUUGCGCCACCCAGCCUUGCCUUAGAGCCGGCCCUGUUGCCACCCUCCAGACCUCUCGAGUAGGAGGCACACGAAGGAGGGCCUCAGAAGGUCAUCUUAGGGUCUGGGUCGGUUCAUAUGGAAAGAGGCAGUCCUUGAGGUCUUGCGGUCCUGAGCCGUUUAUGGCUCUAUAGGUCAAAACCAGCACUUUGAAUUGGGCGCGGAAACUAAGUGCAGUCGGGCCAGGAUCGGUGCAAGAUCCUCAAACCGUCUUGCCGUCCGGUGAGCAACCUGGCCGCUGAAUUCUGCACGGGCUGAAGUUUCCGAACUGUUUCCAGAGGCAAGGGUCCUCCUUGCGGGUCCUCUCCCCCUCCCUCUGCCGUUCAAUAUUUUCCCUUUUGGAUUUUGGAUCUGCAACCGCAGUGGGGGGGGGGGGGAGAGAGUAGAGGUCCGCGGCGUGCGUGUGCAUACGUGUGCCCGGAGUUCCUUCUGCACGCCUUCGCCGCCUCCAGGACGGGGAGGUCGCGGCUGAAAGUCAAAAGCGUUGCAGCGUAAUGGUAAUCAAUCUCCUGCCAUCGAUCAAAUCAUAUUGCGCCUUUUGCUUAGUGCUCUGGCAAACAAGGAGAGGUUUUUCCGUAGUGGGAGGUGGUUUAUUUUUCGCACAGGCUUGGAGUGGAGGGCGCUGGGGGGGGAGGUGUUUGGUGGGGGGAGGUUUUUUGGAGAGAGAGAGAAAAUGCUAUUUGUGGAGAUGCUGGCUUGGCCACAAGGAGCCGGACAAGAAGCCUUUGACCCCCUUGCAGGCAAUUUUGAAAGGAUCGUCCAGCAAAAAAAAAAAAAAAAGACUCCUGAUUUCU